UGCGCAGUCGGUUAUUUAAGUCGGAUGUGAAAUCCCCGGGCUCAACCUGGGAAUUGCAUUCGAUACUGGAUAGCUAGAGUUCGGCAGAGGGAAGUGGAAUUUCAGGUGUAGCGGUGAAAUGCGUAGAUAUCUGAAGGAACAUCAGUGGCGAAAGCGACUUCCUGGACCAGAACUGACGAUCAGGCACGAAAGCGUGGGGAGCAAACA
rnacentral:rRNA from 1 species